GCAACCAGCCUUGGUCACAGAAGCGACUUGCCGUUUCCUCUUCGUAACAGAACCCCACUGGAACAGAACAGCCCACAUCCAUCCUAUCCCACCUCCACGCAAAUCUCAUCCUCUCCCACAACCAGGAUUAUUUCCCCUUUAUCUUCUCCUCUAUGGCUCCACUCAGGAAACAAAUCACCAUCUUCAUCUCCGCAUCAGCCGUUGCACAACUACGGGAAGAUCCUCACCUUCAGAAGUGCCGGGGGUGCUGAUGGCGUCGUACCGCUGCUGGACAAGCCUUCGUUGGUCGUCGCCGGCAGAGCCGCACGCUGCUGCCGAUUCAGUCCACGUAAUCACCGCCCUUAAAUUGAUUCUUGCUGCAGAUGAAUCGAGCCCCGCGCCCCGAUGUCCACCAAAGCUCCCGAUGAGUCACAUGCGCCACCAUCGGCUUCCUCCUCCAACAUCACCUGCACCAAAGGAAGCCUUUUUCAGAAGAACAUCCCUGCUCCGUCUCCAGGCACCUUCUCUAUGGCCGCAAGUUCCGCAAGUUUCUCUCACCUACGAUUCCUCUCUAACUGAAGCACGAUCCGCAAGAAUGUGUCAACAUCCGAUGGAUCAUGAUGAUCUCUCUGAUCCGGUUGGUUUUGAUCGGAAACGAUAGAUGGUGAGCAAUUCCUCUUUGUUCGUUUUCUUUAUUUUUCUGAAGGAAUAAAACAUGAAAUUUACCAUUUAACACGUGCAACUACAAUUCUCUCUCUCUCUCUCCCUCUCUCACACACACACAUGUUAGUUCAGUGUGAUUUAUUUUUAUUUUUAUUACUUUCCUUUGAUAGUUCUAUAGAAUAAGAGCAUAUGGCAUAGUGCAAUUCAUUUUCAGGUAUUUUGUUGUCCGGUCAUAUUAUUCCAGUGUGAAUGGCUUGAGAUCAGUCCAAUACCCGAGUGACACCGUCGUGUGACUGACAUUGUCGUUCUUCUACUGCCAGGUUCAAAACUAAGGUUUUGUUUGUUAGCUGCUAGGAAUUUCGGAGGUUCCAUUAACAAAUCACGUGUAUUGCAUCCGAAAGGAGGCAAGGAGCUCUAUAAUUACAGUUAGUGUUUUCUUUCUCCUUUCAAAUUGAUCAUACAAGAUUACUCCUCUAGGACAUAACAAGUACAAAAUGCAUUUAGCAUUUCUCAAUGGCUACUCUUAUGGAGUAUUGACAAUUUUCUAUAGUAAUAUAAUUAUUGACCUUAUGGAGUUUAAUUAGUUCCAUGCAAGAAUUUCUAGGGUUGCUUAAUUUGUUUCAUUCAAUAUAGUUGCUUGAUGAUGAACCUAUUUUGUGGAAAGAAGUUCAAUGUGCAUCAAGGUUAACCUCGAGAUCCAGAUUUUCUCAAGAAUAAGUUUAGCAUGUAAUUCACAAUUUCUAGAACAUGAUUGUUCAUAAAAAAGCAUAAUAUAUUCCUACAUGAUUUUUUACUACAGUUCAAUGCGAUAAAAUUCUAUUUUACAUAAUAUCCACUAUAUCUAGCUUGGUAUGCUUCCAUCCUCUAUCUUAUGGAAUGGUCUAUUUCCACUUUCCAGUUAUCACGAUGCUCCUACCGCCUUUGUGCUUUUGUUUAUACUACUGUGAAUAAUUCUUAUAGAAUUUGAGUUUACAUGCCAAUCAAUCAGUGUUUAAGUGUCGUGGGUUUCAAGAAAAUUCUCCAUAAACUAAACCAGAAGGAUGAAAAUAGAUAUUUGUAAUUUUAUUAAAUAAUGAUAUGCAUAUAAUAUUUGUCAUGUGGGAAAUUGAGUUUUAAAUUAACUAUUUGCAUCUAAUCAAGGUGGCACAACCACCGAAAUGUUUACUCCAGGUACAUGUCCCUAUCACUCACACUUCUGCAUAAGAAAUUGGUAUUUUUUUUCAUAAAAUUUGCUAGAGAGAUUAUUAUUGCUACUGCAUUGCUGUAUCUUUUUUUCAUUUAUGCGAUUCACCCAUGCUAAAUAAAUACGAAUUUCGAAUGUCACAUGGUUUCAUACUCCCAGUCAUGUCCUUUUUUUAGGGAAUCCCAGUCAUGUCCUUAAUGUGUCUUUUCUCUUACUAGAUAUUCACUUCAGAUAUGUAAUAGUAUAGCCCAUACUCAAAUAAUGUAUUUCCUGUUUUUUGAAGGUGUGUGUUUUGUUCUAUCAAAUUUGUGAUACAUUAUAAUUUACAGGUUUCUAAUGGUUUUGGUGUUUGUUCAACUGAAUGCUCUACCUGACUACACCUCCCUCCCAGGGACAAGAUGUACGAGUGUGAUGAUAAAUAAGCAAAUAAGGGCGUUGAGAUGUUUCUGGUUUGGAGAUAGAUGCUAGAAUAGUAACCAAUGUUCAGUUUUCAAGCACGCAUGUGUAACUACAAUCGAACAAUUUUCUCUAAGGCUAAGCACUUAGAUAUGAUCUCUUCAAACCUAUUGCUUCACUUGAAAAAUGUAAGAACAUUAGUUUUCUGAUUGUUCUGGUAUUGACAGACAUCCAAGCCUAAAAGGUCUAUCCUCACUGAGAGAAUCAAGUACGACCCCUUUUGUAUCCUUCUGUCUAAUUGUACUCUGUUGCGUGGCACCCUAUUAAAUAAGAUGUAAAUGGAGCAUA